GAAAGGCCGAACACUCGCAAACGCAGAAUUUAACAAAGAAGACGAAAAAGACACGAUAUGGAAGAUUUGUUUGAAAUUCGAACUCUCUCGGAAGAGCAGAGUAUCAGACUUGAACAGCUUAGUGAUCUGCAGGAGGCGAGAGAAAAAGUGUACCACGAGUUCAAAAUAGAGAGAAAUCGAGGAAUAAGUUUUGAUGGUUAUGUUGCCGGUUUUGGUUUUAAUAAUUACUGCACUUUGUGCUGAUCGGAAUUGGAGCAUUAUUUGAGAACAGGUAAAGAAUAUACAGCUCGUACAAAAUUCGACCACCUGUUACCUUAUACUGGGUUAAAAUGAGAAACCAACACUCAGCUUCGAAGCCCUGUUAUUAGUAGACUAUCCGCAUGUCACCAUUGAAGAUCUUAUAAGAGCUCCAUUUGAGAGUACAUCUGCUCCGGGCCCGGAACUGGUGAAAGAGGAAAACACUCGAGUUUUGGAAAACGGUUCUGCUCUCGCCGGAUAUCUCUUCGACAACGACAGGGAGAAGCCCAUAACUUCUAUCGAACAAAUCGCCUCAGUUGUGGACCAAUCGUCUGCAGCGGUCGACCAGAAAGGAACAUUCCGCGUGAAUAUUAAUGAAAAGUUGCCCGAUGUAAACGAAUACGCCUUCUUUCACCCGAUACUUGUCACGGGAGACAACUCUGUGACAGCGGUGAAGGUCAGCAAGAAGCCAAGUGUGGCGGCCAGGCUGGGCAAGUGGCUGAGAAGUUUGUUUUCCUGCACAAAGAAGCCUGAGUGCGUGGACUGAUGUCAUUAUUUUUAAAUAAAGCAAUUGUGUAUGGUUGAACGUGACACAAAAGUGUUCGGGUAAAAUAAAUUACAUGUUAGAACACAAUACGCAUGUCGUUCUCUGUAUUGCUUGUUUAUUAUCAAACACUACUUUAUACCUUUAGUAUGUUUACCACUGUCAGAAUACUCGGAUCUGUCCAUUCUGAUAAAAUUAUUUACUCGUUCGAACGAACGCGGCGAUGUUCGUUCUAGUUUACGUUCGACAAACCAAGAG